rnacentral:ncRNA from 1 species
CCCGUCUUGAAACACGGACCAAGGAGUCUAACAUAUGUGCAAGUUAUUGGGAUGUAAACCUAAUAGCGUAAUUAACUUGACUAAUAAUGGGAUUAGUUUUUUAGCUAUUUAUAGCUAAUUAACACAAUCCCGGGGCGUUCUAUAUAGUUAUGUAUAAUGUAUAUUUAUAUUAUUUAUGCCUCUAACUGGAACGUACCUUGAGCAUAUAUGCUGUGACCCGAAAGAUGGUGAACUAUACUUGAUCAGGUUGAAGUCAGGGGAAACCCUGAUGGAAGACCGAAACAGUUCUGACGUGCAAAUCGAUUGUCAGAAUUGAGUAUAGGGGCGAAAGACCAAUCGAACCAUCUAGUAGCUGGUUCCUUCCGAAGUUUCCCUCAGGAUAGCUGGUGCAUUUUAAUAUUAUAUAAAAUAAUCUUAUCUGGUAAAGCGAAUGAUUAGAGGCCUUAGGGUCGAAACGAUCUUAACCUAUUCUCAAACUUUAAAUGGGUAAGAACCUUAACUUUCUUGAUAUGAAGUUCAAGGUUAUGAUAUAAUGUGCCCAGUGGGCCACUUUUGGUAAGCAGAACUGGCGCUGUGGGAUGAACCAAACGUAAUGUUACGGUGCCCAAAUUAACAACUCAUGCAGAUACCAUGAAAGGCGUUGGUUGCUUAAAACAGCAGGACGGUGAUCAUGGAAGUCGAAAUCCGCUAAGGAGUGUGUAACAACUCACCUGCCGAAACAACUAGCCCUUAAAAUGGAUGGCGCUUAAGUUGUAUACCUAUACAUUACCGCUAAAAGUAGAUGAUUUUAUAUUACUUGUGAUAUAAAUUUUUGAAAACUUUUAGUGAGUAAGGAAGGU